rnacentral:tRNA from 1 species
GCGGGUGUGGUGAAAUUGGUAGACACGCUAGAUUUAGGAUCUAGUGCCGCGAGGUGUGUGGGUUCGAGUCCCUCCACCCGCACCA